UGGGACAUUUCCGAUCGCUCCUCCCAUCCCCUGCCACCGUAUCCCCCCGCCGAUGCUGCCACCAACCUCUGUCCGGGCACCGCCAUGCCUCACCAGCUCCCUCUACCCCCACUUGACAGCCACUACCUGCCUGUUGCCUCACCAUGAGGGAGAUCCGCCGCGGUCCAUCUUCUCCAUCACCGGUCAUCGUCUAGCAGUGGCUCGGGCACCGUAGUGCCACCAUCUCCCUCUAGUGGUCCUCCGCCCCCACCUUCCCGCCUCGACCCGCCUUGUGCUUCAUCAUGGAGGAGGGGGGAGAUCUGCCACGCUCAACACCGCCGAGCACCGACUCCUCCCCCAAGCGUUACCGCCUAUGCUUCUCCCUGCCGCAGGCGCCGACGGCGCAGCUCCUGUGCUGCAACCUGCGGCCCCCACACUCCCCACCAUAGCUGUGGGAGAUCAGUGCGCCGCUUGGAUCCUCCCGUUACUGCCAUCCUUUGCCGAUACCAAGACCCAAUAUGAAUUUGCUUGUGCAAGAAUUCUUUGAAGAGUUAUCCUUAGAGGAGUAGGUAGCCAUUCACAUGCUGCUCGAUAUGGAGCGAAAUAAGCAAAGGAAACUUAAUUUGUAAUCAUUAAGUUUGAAUUUUGUUUUGUACGUAUUGUGCUUGUGUUGAAUUAGUUUGUAAUCAUCAAAGUGAUUAAAUCUAGCUAACGCAAAUGGCAUGAGAGAAGAAGCAAAAUGAAUUAUA